UGCUGGGAUUGGUGUCGUAGAGAGAUAAGGGCUCCUUUCAUCUUAAAAUAGCAGGGUGUUGACUGUCUGGAGAGCAGUGGCUAGCGACAUUAAGCUAGCGGGCCCGGACUGUGCACCACGGACCUUCAACACUGCUUCUCAUUAGCCCGCUGGAACAUCUGUUUUAUCUGACCGGCCAUCGCCUCCAUCUUUGAAAAACAACAAAACAACCAUCAAAAAAGCUCUUGAUCAAUACCACGAGGUCAACGGACGUACCAGACGGAGGGUUUAUCACAGUUCCAAUCUCAUGUUGAUUUGAUGCAGAGAGGUUUAACAUCCCACACACUCGGGGCUUAAGGGUCGGAACACACUUGCGUUUCACUUGAUGUUUUUGCUUUGUGUCCUUCAACGUGCCCAGAUCCGCUCCUGGACCGUGCAGGGACGCUCCAGUCACUCCCUACUGCUCCUGCUCCUCAGGCAGAUGUCCUUUGAAACUUGCGAGCAUGGCAUCCUGGACCGGAAUGAUUGACAGCUCCAAGGACUGGGGUUACCACACCCGGGCGAGCAAAGAGAGAGAGCAGGUCAAAGAGCAUGGGCGAUUCCGAGAACGUGGUCAUGACAGAGAGAGAGAAAGAGAGAGAUCUAGAGAGAGAGAACGAGAGCGUCAAAGAUCGACAGACAGAAGUAAAGACAGAUGGAGAGACAGAGAGACAGUGCGGGAUCACUGUCCUUCUUCUCUGACCCACCACAGAGUGGCGGGAAAGAGAGACUUUGAGCACAAGCACCACAGAGUGAGGGAAAGAGGGGAGAAACAGAGAGCCAAGAACCGACGACACAAGGCUUCGCACAGGAGGAGGAAGGACAGUCAGGAGGAGGAAGAGGAGGAGGAAAUAGAGGGCCGUCACAAACGGAAGAAGUCAAGAGGAGGCAGGAGCACAUGAAGCCCUACCUUCUUCCCUCUGCUGACCAGGAGAACCAAUAGCAGCCCUGGCACUGACAAGCUGGUCCUCCCGCCGACCAAUCACAUGUCUGAAUGCAUUCAACUGCCCUUAUGUGACAGAAAAGACUCUCUUAGAUAACAUGUUACUGAAAUGAGUUGUUUUGAAAAUGUUGUUACGUGUAUGUAAAUGUAGAUAAGUGUUGUGAUUUUAAGCUAGGAAGCUGAGUAAACAUUCUGCGACA